rnacentral:misc_RNA from 1 species
AAUGCGAUAAGUAAUGUGAAUUGCAGAAUUCAGUGAAUCAUCGAAUCUUUGAACGCACCUUGCGCUCCUUGGUAUUCCUUGGAGCAUGCCUGUUUGAGUAUCAUGAAAUCUUCAAAGUAAAUCUUUUGUUAACUCAAUUGGUUUCUACUUUGGUAUUGGAGGUCUUUGCAGCUUCACACCUGCUCCUCUUUGUUCAUUAGCUGGAUCUCAGUGUUAUGCUUGGUUCCACUCGGCGUGAUAAGUUAUCUAUCGCUGAGGACACUGUAAAAGGUGGCCAAGGUAAAUGCAGAUGAACCGCUUCUAAUAGUCCAUUGACUUGGACAAUACUUUUAUGAUCUGAUCUCAAAUCAGGUAGGACUACCCGCUGAACUUAAGA